AUUGCGUUUAAAGCGUUUGACUCAAAAUGCAGACACAACAUUCAGGGCUGAAGACUUAAAGACCGAAAUUGAACCUCUUCUUUUCCUGAAAUAUACACCAGCGGUUUGGCAAGGAGGCCAGCUGCCCCGUCCGUCUGUGUCAUGCUGAACACCAGUCUGCAGCACCUGUUCUCAGGUUGCAAGACUCUACUGCAAGAUGGCGGCAUGAUAAUGUAUUGAGGAAGGGACAGAGUGCAGAGGACAUCAGCUGGCGGGGUCAUCCAGGAGGUGCAGCAGACAGCAUAGUCCAGCAGGAAACACCAUCCUCCUAUGCAAUCUUUAUUGUCUUCAUCUUGUAAAAUUUCUCUUUCCUGCCGUGCUUCCAGUAUGUUUACUGUAUGAGUUGGAUUUUUUUGUAUUGUCCAAUCAGAUUUCAGCCUCUAUGUCAUGUCAUGUGAAUCUGUCCGGGGCCACCAGUAGUGUCAGUCAAUCUGUAGUGCUGGCUGAUGUAACUAGAAUAGCGAUGACGUCAACAUUUUUCCAUCAACUGAUUGGUUGGUCAGAGCAAGACAACUGCGACAUGAACACGUCUGUAGUGAUUUGCACACGUUCAUACAUUUAAUAAUCAGAAUCAGAAAAUAUUAUGUAUUUUAUUUAAAGGUACAAAUUGUAUUUGUCAUGUUAUUUGAUAAAUAUUAAUUCUGAAUUGCUCUAUGUGAUGUACAUGACAAAACUGCAUGCUGUUAUAUUGUGUUUUUGUACAGUAUUGAUCGUUUAUUUAAUUGCGAUGAGUUAGUAUUAAGAGGUGGACUGAAUCGGUAAGUCCCCAUUUAAGGCCCAGGUUCCAAAUACAAAGCCCACCGCUGGUAUUGACUAGGCACCCUUAAAUAUCUCCAUAUUGUGACCAUAUAGUUUGAAGAGUUAGUGUAAUAAAAAUAUGGCCCCCUUGAACUGAUAAUAAUCCCCGCCCACCAUAAAUGAGUCUGAUCCGUCAGUAAAUUGAGCCCUUGGUGAGGUGGAGUGGUGUCAGCACCUAUAGCCAACUCUCCAAUGGCUGCCUAAUCCUCGCUUCCCACUCGCUGCCACCCUCAUCGUCUAAUCAGCCUCCAACACACACACACAUACAUCUGACACACACUCGAGUGCUCGGCCUUCCUCGCACUCAGCCAUCUCUUCAGUGUGAUGUCACAGCUAAUCCAUGCGUGGUUAUCCGCUGGGCUGCAGUGUUGGCUGGCAGAGGGAUGUGGGGAGGAAUUUGGGAGCGACGAGGAUGAGGGGAGUGAAAUCAGGCACGUCAUAAAGUCUACUCUCCAAGCACACUUUGAGUGCACUAGAAAAUUACAUUCAAGCGCAAAACAUUCGGAAAUGCUCAGUUUUGUGUUAAUAUGUACACAUUAUUUAAGAUAAGUGGAUGCUAAAACGAUAAAAGCACGAUAUAGCAACAUUAUUAGAGGUCUGUUGGAUUAAACCUACUCUCUCCCUAAUAUGGCCUUUUUAUUGGCAGCUUGUUCAAAAAGAGGAAUUACCUAAAGUGCCUCCCUCCAUAUGGCACCAUUAUUAACACACAUUAGUUGACUGUAAUAGCUAUGGAACUCAUUAUAGUUUCAGAUUAAAUGUGAUUACGUGUGAGCCCAUGUACACAUGUUGCAUAUAGAGUGGAGAUUUAACUCAAUCCUUUUUGGGAUGCUGGUUGACCCCUGAGCUGAGACCUUUGAGGCAGAUGCACUCACUACUACUACUACUGUGACCUGACCGUAUGAGUAAAAUCAUCU